AAAUCUUUCCUUGGGUGGUCAAAUAAAAUGAUAAGUUUACUUCUUCCAAACUUUUAGUGUUCAAGAAUUGAGAUUGUUUAAGACUAUGUUAACGAAAGAAAUUUUGGGAUAUUUUUACAAGUCAACAACUGAAAUGUCUUAAAGUUUCUCCUUUUUCUUAAGGCAAGAUAAAUUUUGUCAACUUAGGGUCUGUUUGUUUGGGUGGAAAAGGUUUUCUGGAAAACAUUUUUCAUAUUUUUCGUUGUUUGAUUGUCAAUUAAUUUAAGAAAAUAAUCUCUGGCAGAAAAUAAAUUACAUUCAUGGGAGGAAUAUAAUUUCCUUAUUUAUCACUGUGAAGUUAUUUUCCUCAGCCUUCUUUUCACAGCCUCGCAAGGAUUUUUGACAUCAGCAAACCAAUCCGAGGGAAAAUACCUUUCAUUCCCAGCAUCUCAUCAGGUAAACUACUCCGGCAUCUCUCUCUCUCUCUCUCUCUCUCUCUCUCUCUCUCAUUUUUUUUCCUUUCAUUCCCGAAGAACCCCCAUUCCCGCUUCCUCCGGCGUCAGUCCUCGGUGGCGAUCACCUCCUCCGGCGACACUAUCUCAGCGGCUACCACCACAUAAUCUAUACACUCACAAGUCAUUUUCAUUCGGCAGAGGGUGAUGCUGUAUAUAUGAAGAUGACUAUCAUCGUGUUUGGCCUUGUUAGAGCCAGGAAAGAGAUUGCAUGUGUGUGAACUUUAGUUUGAGUAAUUAGUUGGGUAGUUUAGUCCCUUUCUCUUGUAAUCAAAUAUGCAAGGCUGAUGUUUCAUUGUCUAAUUAUCAAAUUUGGUUGGAUUCUUGGAAUUGUAUUAUGAUUGUGAGACUUAUUAUGGAUGCUAGAAUUGCUAAUUAUCUUAUGAUGCAGGUUAUAUAAUACAGCUAGUUUUCUUUUGAUUUUUAA